UACGAAGGGGGCUAGCGUUGCUCGGAAUUACUGGGCGUAAAGGGCGCGUAGGCGGCUUUUCAAGUCGGGCGUGAAAUCUCCAGGCUUAACCUGGAAGGGUCGUUCGAUACUGUUAAGCUAGAGUGUGGAAGAGGCUACUGGAAUUCCGUGUGUAGCGGUGAAAUGCGCAGAUAUCAGGAAGAACACCCGUGGCGAAGGCGGCUCUCUGGGACGGUACUGACGCUGAGGAGCGAAAGCAUGGGUAGCGAACAGG
rnacentral:rRNA from 1 species